rnacentral:misc_RNA from 1 species
GUUGUAAUUCCUGUGUUUUUAGUUGUUUGGGGCAUAGAAAAGUGGAUUUUCUCUCUGACCAAUUGGGUUCCUCUAGUUGUGGCUGUUUGGGCUGUUUUUCAGUACGGAAGUUACCAACGCAAAAUUCUUGCAGAAGACUUGAAUAAUAAAUGGAAGCAAGUGUUGCUGGAGACAUCUCCAACAACACCUUUGGAGCAGUGUGAGUGGCUGAAUAAGCUAUUAAUUGAAG